GGGUUUGUGGCUCAGUGGUAGAGCACUUGCCUGGGAUGUGUGAGGCACUGAGUUCAAUUCUCAGCACCA
rfam:Ictidomys tridecemlineatus contig078053, whole genome shotgun sequence.